GUUCUUUCUAGAGGACCUGAAUCCAACUCCCAGCACCCAUAUCUGACAGCUCACAACCAUCUGUAAUUCCAGCUCCAGGUGAUCUGACACCCUCUUCUGGCUUCUGUGGGCACUAGCACACAGCUAGGUCCUUAGCUGCUACUCCUGUGGCCCUGCGCAGGAGGAAUGUGCUGCAGGCAACUUGGAUGACUUUGGCCAAGGAAGAAAGUGUCAUCUUUGGAACAAUGGUUGUUCUGAUUCAGUUGAGCAGGAUUGAAUCCUGAGAUGGAAUAGAGUUGGAAAGAGCUCCGCUGAGAACUUCAAAUGUCUGUACAAACAGUGAGGAGAGAGGCUUGGCACAAGAGCCAUGUCAAGCUGACCCUGAAUAGUGGCAGGCAACUCAUCACAUGAAAGAGGGGCCAUAGGAAUCAUGCAUGAGGAAAUCAGAGGGCCAUGCUGAGCUGCCCCCCACCCGCCUUCCCUGGCCCUGGCAAAUCUGGACACUGCCUCUUGCCAGACACGGGAGAGCUGACCCCACCACACACAGACUCAGGAGAGAUGGCCCCACCCCUCACCUGUGGGGUGAAAUGACCUGGUUGGCUUGGGCAUAAGAAAGCUGGCUCCGCCCCUCGCCUGAGGGGGAGGGGGCAAGAGGCCCAGACUGACCCGCUCAGCUACCACCCAGGCCCACUGCUGGGCCUUGGGUUGGCCCAGCCUAAUCUACUCCACAUAGAAUCUGUUGGAGCUCAUGAAGGGACUGAUCCUGUGGAACGAUACCUACAAGACUCGGGUGGCCAAGGGAAACCCCAGAGCGUUUUGUGAAGAUCCAGUGAUAAUAGUGUGUCUGAAACCAGAGGACUUAAACCAGACCAAUGACUCAUUGCAAUGAACGUUUGCUAGUAAAGUUGAUUCGACAAAAGGGUAUAUACUAUGUGACACACUCUUCCCAAUGCCACCAGGAUGAAUGAAGAGGUGUUGGAGAGGCAGGAAAGACAGGAAAGAUGGAGAAGUGAAAAGGGUUUUUUGUUUUGUUUUGUUUUAUUCUUGUUUUUGUUUGCAUGCUUGCUCUGUUUUAUUUUGAGUUUUAAAUUUUUUCUUUUGGGGGGCACUGCAAAGGAGAGGGAAGGAUAUGGGGGGACUUGGAGGUGAUCAGAGCUGGAUUGUAUGAUGUGAAAUUCC
rnacentral:lncRNA from 1 species